rnacentral:rRNA from 1 species
CGGGGUGAGUAACGCGUGGAUAACCUGCCUCACACUGGGGGAUAACAGUUAGAAAUGACUGCUAAUACCGCAUAAGCGCACGCUACCGCAUGGUAGCGUGUGAAAAACUCCGGUGGUGUGAGAUGGAUCCGCGUCUGAUUAGCCAGUUGGCGGGGUAACGGCCCACCAAAGCGACGAUCAGUAGCCGACCUGAGAGGGUGACCGGCCACAUUGGGACUGAGACACGGCCCAA